GUCUACGGCCAUACCACCCUGAACACGCCCGAUCUCGUCUGAUCUCGGAAGCUAAGCAGGGUCGGGCCUGGUUAGUACUUGGAUGGGAAAAAAAAAAAAGAAAUAUUGAGUAUAGAUC
rnacentral:rRNA from 1 species